rnacentral:lncRNA from 1 species
AGGUCAUCUUAGCCUGCCAUCUUGGCCUGAUUGCUGUUAUUGGAUAUUAUGAACAAGAACUUUACACGUGCUGUCCCCUCUGCUUGGGAAGCUUAUUCUUCUCCCACAUACAUGUGGACAUUCGUGCUUCAUUCAGGUGUCUGGAACCGCUAUUUCUUUAACCUGGAACACUUUCUUCCCACAAGCACCAACGUAGUUUCUUCUCAUCAUUCUGGACAAUUUAGACCAAAAUGCAGAUGAUUCGCGGCUCAGUGUGGACCACGCCAGAGUCCAAUGGCCAAUGAUGGCGUAUGACGUCCAAUGGCAGAGCAAAUGAUGGAAGGGAUCUCUCCCUGAAUGAUCUCACAAAGCACAACUGCCUAAUUAUCCAAAACUAACUGAACUGUUUCAUGAGAGAAAUGCACUUACUUGUGUCUUUUUGUUAUAACUAUCCUAAAUUAGCUUUCACCUUAAUUAAUACAAUAUUUGAAUUAGUACUACCAGAUGACCAAGAAUGUAGAAGCAGAGAAGUAGGAACUGAGGUUGACAAUAUAGUAAGAAAUCCAGACUUUUAAGAGGCUCAAAUGUCAUUAAAAAUAUUCUGAAGGCAAAUAAAAUCAAAAGUGAAAAACAGUUUUAACUAUGAAAAAAACGUUUUUUUUUCGGUUGUAAUUUGCUUCAAAUGGCAUAAGAUGCCUGGUAGAGAGGUCAAAUGAUAGCUCAGAUACAGGAUGGCACCCUGAAGUAUUCACCAUGAACCAGGCGGGCAAGAACAUUACAUCUUGCCAGUUCCCACAGAAAAUACCAAUAUCUUAUGUUGACAUGCUCUAGCUGAACUUCUAAUUCUUGGAAAACUAACUUUUAGCACAGUGAAAGGGAGAAGCCAUCCAUGGAUAAUGUGGUAACUAGUAUAAUUUUGCCUAAUCUAAUAAUUCCAACAGUAAUCCAACUUAGAGACUGGGAUGUUCAGUUCCUAAAGUUCUGGCUUUUACCAUACAGUGGACUGUCAUUGUCUGGCUUUUUGGUAUGUGAAGAAAUCAACUCCAGGUAUUAGUCAGGUAGUGAUAAUUUGCAGUUUCACUCAAGUGAGGGCAGAGUUAAAACUUUACUUCUUGCACAUUCUCCUACACUGUUUUCUUUGUGGUCCUCUACAAACAAGAAUAGUGGAAAAAACAAGGGGGAGUGAACCUACCGAUAAGUGGAUGUAUAGAGAAUCCCAAAUUAUCACUUCUUUUUUUAAAAAAUGACAAAUUAAAGCUAGGAAAGUAUAUAGAACUAUUUACAGCAAAAUUUGUUUUCUGUUUUCCUCCCAAUCUGUCAAUUUCCCUCUCCAUAUUUAGAAAUUUCUAAGAUAAGGUGGCCAGUCAUCCUAAUUUACCCAGGACAAAGGGAUUUCGGUGCAGUCAGAGCUUUCAGUGCUAAAACCAGGCAAGUUCCAGGGAAAAGGUGAGGAAUUGUUCACUCUAUUCUAGGGCGGGGAGAAGGAGAGCAAUGUGAUACAUUGAGAGCAUUGAGAAUGUCUACAUUUACAAUAAUCUCAUUUUUAAGUGUAUUUCAGUCAUAAAGCCUUUGUUUACCCUUGUAAUCUGAGCUUUGUGACACUGAGGCUGGGACUCCGAAGACUGCAUUUUUUCUUUGUCACCCAAUUCCCUUUGUCACUAGCGGGGAACUACAGAAGAAAGGAUAUUGAAACAGGUAGAGAGAAGAGAUAUACUCCCUUCUAUUUAUUAGUGCUAUUGUCAAUAUAGCCCAAGCAAUGAUCUUUCACCUGGGUAACAAUAGCUGGUUCCAGGUUUUGAUACUUUUAAAACGAACUUCAUUGUGUUCUCUCACGUGUAUCCACACAUGCUGGACAACACUAUCUAUCUCAUCAAUUUUAGCCCCAACCCUCUAGGGCCCUUCCUUGGAGCUCUUAACUUACUAGCAUCAAGCAGUGCAGCAACCCUUCCUCAGAGGUUUGAGUGCAAGCUCUUUCUGGCCCCUCCCAUAAGCUUCUAGAUUCUGAUCAUUCUGCUUUCUACAGCUAGUAGCUGCUUCCUAUAGUUUCUGUCUUUGCAUUACCUCAGUGUUCCUUUUUGCCUUAUGAGUCCUCCACACGUGAAACUAAUCACUAUAUUAAAUUCUCUUCUGAAGUAUGUAGCGUAGUUUCUAUUUCACUGCCCAAACCUUGACUGAUGCAAGCAGUUAUUUAAAAUUAAAAUAAAAACUUUUAUAAGAAAUGUUAUUAAAAGAUUUCAUACCUAAAAUAUCAAUAAAAUAUUUAAUAGUUACAAAGCAACUGACUUUUAGCUACGAUUGUUUAUUGUAUCAGGUUUCUCCCAAAUAUGAUUAUAAUUUCCUAAUUAAUAACUAUGAGAUCCUAGUGUAGGAAAGUCUAGUUGUAAACUUCAAUAUCUCAUCAGAUAUUUGCAUAAGGAAUUGAAGUAACUUUAUCCUUUUAGCUGACUAAUAUAAAUGUAUUUG